GACGAACGCUGGCGGCGUGCUUAACACAUGCAAGUCGAACGGAAAGGCCCUGCUUGCAGGGUACUCGAGUGGCGAACGGGUGAGUAACACGUGGGUGAUCUGCCCUGCACUUCGGGAUAAGCUUGGGAAACUGGGUCUAAUACCGGAUAGGAGCCAUCCUUAGUGUGGUGGUUGGAAAGUUUUUUCGGUGUAGGAUGAGCUCGCGGCCUAUCAGCUUGUUGGUGGGGUAAUGGCCUACCAAGGCGGCGACGGGUAGCCGGCCUGAGAGGGUGUACGGCCACAUUGGGACUGAGAUACGGCCCAGACUCCUACGGGAGGCAGCAGUGGGGAAUAUUGCACAAUGGGCGCAAGCCUGAUGCAGCGACGCCGCGUGGGGGAUGAAGGCCUUCGGGUUGUAAACUCCUUUCGCUAGGGACUAAGCUUUUUUGUGACGGUACCUAGAUAAGAAGCACCGGCUAACUACGUG
rnacentral:rRNA from 1 species